rnacentral:rRNA from 1 species
CACGUAGGGUGCGAGCGUUGUCCGGAAUUAUUGGGCGUAAAGAGCUCGUAGGCGGUGUGUCACGUCGGCCGUGAAAACCUGCAGCUUAACUGUGGGCGUGCGGUCGAUACGGGCAUCACUGGAGUUCGGCAGGGGAGACUGGAAUUCCUGGUGUAGCGGUGAAAUGCGCAGAUAUCAGGAGGAACACCGGUGGCGAAGGCGGGUCUCUGGGCCGAUACUGACGCUGAGGCACGAAAGCGUGGGGAGCAAACAGG